UGCUGAGGGUCACACACGGCGCUACCCUCGGCCAUCGCGGCGCCCGCUAGUCAGCCGGCCAGUCCUGUUCCCCACGCCGCCUCGCCGGACCCCUUGGGCUGUCCGCGUCCGGCGCGCUCCCGUCUACACAGCCCGCGCGCGCGCGCGCCCGUCCGGCCCGGCUAUCCUUGAUCCGUGAACAAGCGAGAGCCCUCGGACCGCGCCUGCGCCAUCCUCGGUGCGAGGGGCCGGUACCUUUAAGGAGCCGCUGCAUUACGUCAUUUUUCCGCGACGCCCCCACGCUCUUGCUCCCUCCCUCUCGCCCGCCAUCGCUGGAGGCAGCCAAUCAGAAGCGUCGUUCCCCUGUCUGGUCGCCGCCCCCGCGCCGUCAGAGGCUGUCCACCACCGGGAGGGAUCUCUGCGGCGCUGCAGGGCUGUGCGGCCGCCUGGGGCUCUGGGGUUGAGCCGGCGGCCUCUGGACCCCCGAGUCUUGGCUCUUCCACUCUAGCUGUGUGACCAUGGGCACGGUGCCCAUCCUCACCUCUCCAUCUGCAACCUGAAGAUGAUGACUUCUUAGUGUUGUGGACUAGCAUAGAGCGAGGAAGGGAGGAGCGAGAGAGAGAGCAAGAGAAAGCGAAAGAAGACAUCGAUAUGCAAGAGAGAGACAUCAGUAGGUUUGCCUCCUAUAUGUGCCCUGACCUGGAAUCAAAUCUACGACCUCACGACCUUCUGGUGCAUGAGACAACACUCCAGCCAACUGAGCCACACUGGCUAGGGCAGGUAGAUGGAGGAAUCUAAAAAACUGUGAAUACCAGGCACUUAAUAAAUGUUUUCUGAAUCGCA